GCCGAGCUAGCCAAGGUGGUCAAGGCACGUGUCUGAAGAACACGGAAUUUCAGUUCGAUUCUGAAGCUCGGCA
rnacentral:tRNA from 1 species